rnacentral:misc_RNA from 1 species
UACCACCAACGCCACCGCCGCCGGUUCUGCAGCCGCCGUUUUUGCCGCCGACGACGCCGUUCUGCUCUCCUCGGCGAGUUAGAAGCCGAUGAGAUCCAUCUCGUCAGUUGCGCGGCGGACAGCGUUCAGAGUGUUGCGCUUCGCGAGUGAUGCACCUGCAUUAGGUGAUUGCUAACUUUAUUUCAUAUCUUCUCUAUCUAUCUAUCUAUCUAUCUCUGUUUAUUUUAAUUUCGAGAUCGUUCUAUUUUAAUUUAACGAUUAAUUUUGACUCGUCGAUUCGAUGUGACUGUUUUCUACGACAAGUUUAUUUCAAUUGAAAUAUCAGAGAAAAUUAAUUACGGAGAAAAAUAUUAAUUGGAAAAUUUAUCGAGUUAAUAAAAAAGUUGAUAAAAAAAGAAGAAGAAGAAGAAGAAGAAGAAGUAAGGAGAAAAUAAAAAUGUUUAUAAUGGUGUAUGUGAAAGAUUAUUUCGUUGGACCGUUAUUAAAUAGAAAAUAGGGACAAGAAUAAAGCUCCGUUAGCAGCUUAGUAGUGUAGAAAAAGAUAGUUUAUAAAAUAGAAAAGAAAAAGAAGAAGAAGAAGAAGAGAAAAAAAAGGAAAAAAGAAAAAAGAGAAAAAUCUAUUAUAAAAGAGUAGGUGGAUAUGAUGUGAUACUACUAACAAAGGGAGAAGAAGAACAAGAAGUAUAGGGAUCGUUCGUUAGUUCCGAUCGAGCAAGAACUCUUUUUAUCGUGUGUUUUUCUUCUUUUUUUUUUUUUCCGCGCGUGAUUUUACAACGACGACGCGCCGGUUGGGAAGCAAGCAGCGAAUGGAUCGGUUGCGGUGAGGAGAAGGAGGAGGAGAAAGUAGGAAGGAGGUGGAGGAGAUUGGUGAUCCACGAGAGGAAUAGUAGCUAGCUAGACAGCUAGCUAGCUAGCUAGCACGCUCUCUUUUUCUCUUCUCCCGUUGAUUUUCUUUGAAUACUUGAGAUAGAAUAAGAGCGUAUAUACACACACGAGCAAGUGCGAUCCACCGGAAGUGUAAACAAUCUGAACGGUAGGCACGCCUGGGCGCAUCUUGCCUCGCCUAGUAUCUCGUCCUCGUCGUUAUAGUAAUAAUAAUAGUAGUAGUACUAGUACUAGUUGGAAGUUAAAGUUGCGUCGUCGUGCACGGUGCAUGGGCGUUCGCGCGUUCACGAACGGAGGAGGAAGAAGAAGAAGAAAAGAGGAGAGGAGAGCCUCGGCUCGAACAUGACUCGGUCGGCGAUCCUCGUCGUCGUGUGAUGAGACGAGGAGUGCCCGCUGGAGAGGGCAGGGAGUACGACAUCGGUACCGACCUAGGAGGAGGAGGAGGAGGAGGAGGAAGAACAAGAAGAAGAAGUGGUGGAAGGGAAAGGGAUAAAAAGAGAAAGACGGAAAUAGAAGAGGAGAAGGGGUCGCCAAGAUGCGUCGAAGAACUCAGGGCUGCUGCAAGCAGCAUUUCUACAACAACAAUAACAAGAAAAACUACCACCCUUACUAUUAUCUCUUGCUGGUCAUAGUACUUUGCUGCCAGCGGUACCACCACGUGCUCGCCGUGACCAGCGAGCUGCCGCCUAGACUCGACAUUCCCGAGUAUUGUUCUUGGGAUUCAAGGCAGGACGGAACUCUUACUUGCAUUCAUCGCUAUCCAAGCAACGAUUCCUUCCGUACUAACUUCUCUCAAGCAACGAGCGAGUACGUGACCUCGGUUAACGUUAUAUGCGAGGACACCGAGCCCGAGUCGAUGUUCGAUCCCGCCCUCGAGGGCGGCGUCCUCAACGUCGACGGUCUGUUACAUUUAUGGCGACUACGUUCGUUAAAAUUAAUCGGUUGCAAGCUAACCCAUUGGCCGGCCAAGAUUCUCGGUGGCUUGAGAGAUUUAAGAAAUCUUACGGUGAGAACGUCGAUCGGACGAAAGACUAAGUAUAGCUUGGAAUUGGAAAGUGGGGCCUUCGAUUCAACACCCCAGAUCGAGAAGAUGGAUCUUUCGUCGAAUAAUAUUUGGCAAAUACCGGAAUAUUUGUUUUGUCCGUUGACGAAUCUGGUAACGCUCAAUGUCUCUUGGAAUACGUUGAAGGAUAUCGCUGAAUUGGGAUUUAGGGAUGUCAACGAGAGAUACUCGAACCGUCAACACGAAUCAACACCCACGCCAUUUCCUUGCUCCCUUGACAUGCAGUCAUUGGAUGCUUCGAACAAUCAAAUAUCUGUUCUGCCAGCCUACGGUUUCUCUUCGCUGAAACGUCUAAGGAUUCUCAACCUGUCGAAUAACGCGAUCUCCAUGGUGGCUGACGAAGCGCUUCACGGAUUGAGAUCUCUCGAGACCUUCGAUCUGUCCGGCAACCGAAUAGUAGCUCUACCGACGGACAUGUUUCGGGACGCUACCAAAUCCCUGAAGGAGUUGAGAUUGCAAAAUAAUUCUAUCAGCGCGCUAUCGCCGGGUCUCGUAGCCGAUAUGAAUCAACUCGUUGCUCUGGACUUGUCGAGAAACGUAUUGACGAGUACCUGGCUCAAUUCGGCAACCUUCUCGGGCUUGAUUCGUUUGGUUCUCUUGAAUCUCUCUCACAAUCGAAUCACCAGGCUCGAUCCGGAACUAUUCAAAGAUCUUUACACGUUACAAAUCUUGAAUCUACAGCACAACGAAAUCGAAACGAUACCUGCCGAUACAUUUUCACCUAUGAGCAACCUUCACACCCUCGAACUCACGCACAAUCGCUUGACCUACUUGGACGCUUAUUCCCUCAACGGCUUAUAUGCUCUCUCACUUCUUGCCUUGGAUUCAAAUAUGCUCGAGGGAAUACAUCCUGACGCUUUCAGGAACUGCUCGAGCAUGCAGGAUCUUAAUCUCUCGGGUAACAACUUGGACAACGUGCCGGUCGCGGUAAAGGACAUGCGGAUGCUGAAGACCCUCGAUCUCGGUGAAAAUCAAAUUAGAAGUCUCAGUAAGCCUGGCUUUCGCGGUAUGUCGAGUCUCUACGGAUUGAGAAUGAUCGGUAACGAGAUCACGAAUGUCACGUGCGAGGAUCUUACGGAACUACCGGCCCUGCAAAUCCUAAAUUUGGCCAGGAAUAGAAUCGAGUUCGUCGAGGACGGCGUAUUCUCCGCGAAUCCUGCCUUACAAGCGAUACGACUCGACAGCAACUUACUGCAGGACGUGUCCUCGAUAUUCGCGGGUGCGCCGGGACUCCUGUGGCUUAACAUGUCCGACAACAUGAUCGCGAACUUCGACUACAAGUAUUUGCCGGAGAAAUUACAGUGGAUGGAUCUGCAUAAGAAUUUUAUCUCGGACCUGGGAAUCGCGCCACCGGGUAUGAGACUGCAAACGCUCGACGUCUCCUUCAACCAACUUACGAGGAUAUAUUCGAGUUCCAUACCGGAUUCCAUCGAGUUGCUCUUCGUCAACGACAAUCUCAUACAUACGGUCGAGCCUCAGACCUUUUUCGGUAAGACCAAUUUGACCCGGGUCGAUCUCUAUGCGAAUCAAAUCGUCAAGAUGAAUCUCUCGGCUCUCCAAUUAACUCAAGUACCCGAAACCCGCCAACUUCCCGAAUUUUACAUCGGCGGCAAUCCCUUCAUAUGCGACUGCACGACCGAGUGGUUGCAACGAAUCAAUACCUUGUCGCUCAGACAACACCCCCGAGUGAUGGAUCUCGAGUCGGUUUAUUGUCGAUUACCGUACGAUCGUCGCAAGUCAUUCAUACCGUUGCUCGAGGCCAAACCUUCGCAAUUUCUCUGCACGUACAAGGCACAUUGCUUCGCUCUCUGUCAUUGUUGCGACUUCGACGCUUGCGAUUGCGAGAUGACGUGCCCAACGAAUUGCACGUGCUACCACGAUCAGUCUUGGUCCGCGAACGUCGUAGAUUGUUCGAGCUCGGGUUACAAAAGUCUACCCGGUCGAUUGCCGAUGGAUGCAACGGAAGUCUACCUCGAUGGGAAUAACUUUGGCGAGUUAAACUCGCACUCGUUCAUCGGCCGUAAGAAUCUCGAGAUAUUGUACGCGAACGACAGCAACAUAAUCGCGAUCCGUAACCACACGUUCAGCGGACUGAAGAGAUUGCUGGUGCUCCAUCUGGAAAACAACAAGAUAAGCGUGCUCAACGGCGUGGAAUUGAUGCCGUUGGAGAAUCUAAAGGAACUCUACCUGCAGAACAACCUUCUAACGUAUAUCGACAACGGUACGUUCCUGCCGUUACGUCAGUUGGAAGUCCUCAGAUUGGAAAGGAAUCGUCUCGGUACAUUUGCCCUCUGGCAACUCGGUCAGAAUCCCUAUCUCGUGGACGUAGGUUUAUCGAGCAAUCCCUGGAGCUGCGAGUGUUCUUACCUGGAGCGUGCUCGCGAGUGGAUGUCACGGAAUCGCGAGAAGAUCGUCGACUGGCCGAGCGUUAGCUGUUCCCUCGGUAUACCGAUUACACUGCCGGCGAACGGAUCGGCCGUAAAUUGCGCGGCAUUAACCGGCGGCGGGACUAACACGGCGAUCGAGACCCGGCCGCUCGAGGCUUAUCUGCCCCUAUUACUGGCCAGCGCUUUGUUGAUCUUCGCCAUGGUGGCUUUAGUCUGCGGAGCUUUCAGACACCGACGUACUCUGAGGACAUGGGCGGCCAGUAGAUGCGGACUACGUGCUUGCUACAAGACCGCGGCUUUCGAGGAUCAGGAGAAGCCCUUCGACGCGUAUAUCUCCUAUUCGGCGGUGGACGAGGCCUUCGUCUCGACGAUACUCGUGCCCGGUCUCGAGAGCUCUUAUCGAUUGUGCCUACACUAUCGAGAUCUCGGUGCUGGGAGCAACGUCGCCGAUGCCGUCGCCGAGGCAGCCGACUCCUCGCGGCGCACCAUUCUCGUACUGUCGAAGAACUUUUUGCGCGGCGAGUGGGCGAGAUUCGAAUUCAAGGCGGCCCUGAGGGACGCCCUCAAAGGGAAGGGUCGCUCGGUGAUAUUACUCCUCGUGGGCGGUGUUUGCCCGCGCGAUCUCGACGCCGAUCUCAAAAAAGAGAAUCUCCUCGCACACCGUCCUGGUAUGGGGAGACAAGAUGUUUUGGGAGAAGCUAAGGUUCGCCAUGCCGGACGUCUCUCUGGUUUCUGUUUUGGAGAGACCCCUGCCGUUACCGCCCCCGCCCCCGCCGCCGCCCCUACCACUGCCACACAUACUGCCCUCGGCGCACCAUCAAUGGACGUAGACCCGUCGCCGCCACCGUUGCCGCCACCGUUGCCGCCACCACCGUCGUCCUCCUUCUCUUAGAUGUGAAAUGUUGCCAGAAGUAUUAUCACAAUACUACGUAUCCCGAGAGUAAUUGGAAAUCGCAGCAACGGGGAAAGGAGCUUCUGUGUCGCGUCGUUCCUCGCAUCAUCGAAUCCCAAGGGUCCCAAGAUUUGCGAUCUAACUUAAAUUUUCCUGACUCUCUCUUUCUCUCUCUUUCUCUCUCUCUCUAUCUAUCUAUCUAUCUCUACUUAUUAUCAAGACAAAUAUUUCUCUCGCGACUAAUCCACAAUUAUAUUCCCCUAUCCCGAGAUAAGAUUUAAAAAAAAAAAAAAAUAAAGAGUAAAAAUAAGAAUAGAAAAAAAAGUAAAUAAAAAAAAAAACAACA